AAUAUUUUUGUUUUAAGAUGAAGUUUUAAGUGUCUAGUAAAGACUUUGGUGUUUUAAUUCUUCUUCAAGUCAAUUCUUUCUCUGUCUUCAAGAUGGAAAUGAUGGAAAAACAGAGUGUGCCAGAGAGACACAUGAGUCAGGAGCCAGCUCAAAGUCAAUGGGGCCUAGAAAACCCUUUCUGGAGAGGUAGGAGCUCGCGUGAAGGCAGCUACUUAACUUCUGCUGCACAAUCCACACACCGUGCUUCUCCUUUUGGAGGUCAAUAUGGCUGCAGGGGAGCCUCAUCCUUUCUCAGAAUGGCCCUACUUGCCCUACCUCAUGGAUGGCCCUUCAGGACCAUUGAUAGGUUGCUGGCCACCUCCUUCACCUGAGUCUCUCUGGGACCUCAACCACUCCCUCCACCUGAAGGUUUUCUGGGACCUCCAACAUCACCUCCACUCGAGUGUCCUUUGAGAUCUCAACCCUUCCACUCACGUGUCCCCUGGGACCU
rnacentral:lncRNA from 1 species